rnacentral:rRNA from 1 species
UACGUGAGGGUGCGAGCGUUGUCCGGAAUUAUUGGGCGUAAAAGAGCUCGUAGGCGGUGUGUCACGUCGGCCGUGAAAACCUGGGGCUUAACUCUGGGCGUGCGGUCGAUACGGGCAUCACUAGAGUUCGGCAGGGGAGGACUGGAAUUCCUGGUGUAGCGGUGAAAUGCGCAGAUAUCAGGAGGAACACCGGUGGCGAAGGCGGGUCUCUGGGCCGAUACUGACGCUGAGGAAGCGAAAGCCAUGGGUAGCGAACAGG